rnacentral:misc_RNA from 1 species
AAGUCGUAACAAGGUCUCCGUAGGUGAACCUGCGGAGGGAUCAUUAAAGAGUGAAGGGCCGAGAAAUCGCCCGACCUCCAACCCUUUGUUGUACUUACCAUGUUGCCUCGGGGAGGACGAUUCUCGUCACAGAGUGUCGAAUUCCCCGGUGGACCAAUAUAACUCUGUUUUAACUACAAGUCUGAGUAAAAACAUUUUAAAUUUAUACAAAACUUUCAACAACGGAUCUCUUGGUUCUG